rnacentral:lncRNA from 10 species
UACCUGUAAGAAGAAUCAAGAUAAAGAAUUCAUGAAUGAUAAAAACACUUUGAAAAGACUGGUGCAGCAAAAAACAUCAUUAUAAAAUGUAAAAUGGAGAAGAAUGGUCUGAAGGGCCACCAUGCAGCCAUACGGCACAGGAUCUAGAUUAUGCACCACAGUGGUUCUGAAAUGUGGUCCCUGGUCCAGCAGCCUCAGCAUCACCUGCAAACUGGUUAGAGAUGGAAAUUCUCAUGUCCUUCUUCAGACCAACUACAUCAGAAACUGAGGAUGGGGCCCAGCAGUCCCUGUCCUAACAAGUUCUCCAGGUGACCCUGAUGCACACUCAAGUUUGGUACCACUGCACUGUGAUUUUUUGUUCUGAAUCUGAGGCCUGCUAUUGUGAAUCUGCCAUACUUAAAAAGAAAAAAGUUGGAAAGUCAUUUUCAACUAAAAAACAUUUCAAACAGAGGAAAUAGAAAAAAUAAAGGACUGAAGGCCAAUGUCUUGGCUGC